GACAAACGCUGGCGGCGUGCUUAACACAUGCAAGUCGAACGGAAAGGCCCUGCUUGCAGGGUACUCGAGUGGCGAACGGGUGAGUAACACGUGGGUGAUCUGCCCUGCACUUCUGGAUAAGCCUGGGGAAAUGGGUCUAAUACCGGAUAGGGGCCAUUUGUAGUGUGAUGGUUGGAAAGUUUUUUCGGUGUAGGAUGAGCUCGCGGCCUAUCAGCUUGUUGGUGGGGUAAUGGCCUACCAAGGCGGCGACGGGUAGCCGGCCUGGGAGGGUGGACGGCCACCAUGGGACUGGGAUACGGGCCAGGCCCCCACGGGGGGCCGGAGGGGGGAAUAUUGGACAAUGGGGCCAAGCCCGAUGCAGCGAAGCCGGGGGGCGGGUGACGGCCCUUGGGUUGGAAACCCCUUUCGGUAGGGAACAAGCUGUUUGUGACGGUAACUAGUAAAGAAGCACCGGCUAACUACGUG
rnacentral:rRNA from 1 species